UAAAAGUGUUUUAAGAGCAUCGUUUUUGCAUCCUAAAUAAUUAGAAUUCAGUAAAUCAAGUACAUAUAACAUGUAUAGUAGCACUUUAAUAAUGUUUGGGAUAUUAAGUGUUGCGAGCCCUAUUCUGAUACCUCCAUUCUGUGACCUUUUAGUGGUAGAUGCACCUUUAAAAUGCUAUAAUGCCACAGAUUGUGAAUCUUAUAGGGAGUGCCUACAUCCUAAAUAAAAUAUUAACAUAUAUUAAUAUAUUAUAUCGAUGUGCUCCCAAAUAAAAUGCGUUUGUCAGAUA